GGCGGUACGGGAGCCGGAUGCGAGCGCGGCCGCCUGCCGUGCGGCCGACGCGAGCGCCGUCUCGGUGUUCAGUGCGGCGCGCCGCCGC
rnacentral:tRNA from 1 species